rnacentral:lncRNA from 1 species
ACCUCAAACUUGUGCUGCCCUGAUAGACCCAAGGGAGCCCUACAAACUGACAUCAGCAACCUGGACUGGUGAGUUUUCUAUCCCAGGGAAAAAGGCCAAAGUAUGUGCCUAGGGGACUCGGCCAUGGGCUGGCACCUGACUGCAAAAAGUCACUAUAUCGAAGGAUGGACCCGAGACCAAAUUUUGUCCCCACCUCAAACUUGUGCUGCCCUGAGAGACCCACGGGAGCUAUAAAAAUUAACAUCAGGAACCUGGACUGGUGAGUUUUCUUUCCCAGGGAAAAUGGCCAAAAUAUGUGCCCAUGGGCCCCUGGCCCUGGGAUGGGCCCUGAAUGCAAAAAAUAGUUAUAUAGAAGGAUGGACCCCAGACUGAAGUUGUCCCCACCUCAAACUUGUGCUGCCCUGAUAGAUCCAUGGGAUCCCUAUAAACUGACAUCAGGAAACUGGACUGGUGAAUUUUCUUUCCCAGGGAAAAUGGCCAAAGGAUGUGCCCAGGGGCCCCUGGCCAUGGGCAGGAACCCGAUUGCAAAAUAUCCUUAUAUCGAAGGAUGGACCCCAGACCGAAUGUUGUCCCCACCUCAAACUUGUGCUGCCCUGAUAGACCCAAGGGAGCCCUACAAACUGACAUCAGGAACCUGGACUGGUGAGUUUUCUUUCCCAGGGAAAAUGGCCAACGAUUUUGCCCAGGAGCCCCUGGCCCUGGGCUGGCACCUCACUGCCAAAAAUACUUAUAUCGAAGGAUGGACCCAAGACUGAAGCUGUCCCCUCCUCAAAAUUGUGCUGCCCUGAUAGACCCAAGGGAGCCCGACAAACUGACAUCAGCAACCUGGACUGGUGAGUUUUUUUUCCCGGGGAAAAUGGCCAAAGGAUGUGCCCAGGGGCCCAGGCCAUGGCCUGGGACCUGACUGCAAAAAGUCCAUACAUCAAAGGAUGUGCCCCAGACUAAAUUGGCCCCCACCUCAAACUUGUGCUGCCCUGAUAGACUCAAGGGAGCCCUACAAACUGACAACAGGGACUUGAAGUUUUAUGUUUUCUUUCCCAGGGAAAAUGGCCAAAGGAUGUUCCUAGGGGCAUCUGGCCGUGGGGUGGGACCUGACUGCAUAAAAGUCAAUACAUCGAAGGAUGGAACCGAGACCGAAGUUGUCCCCACCUCAAACUUGUACUGCCCGGAUAGACCCAUGGAAGUCCUACAAACUGAUAUCAGGAACCUGAACUGGUGAGUUUUCUUUCCCAGGGAAAUUUGCCAAAGCAUGUGCCUAGGGGCCCCUGGCCCUGGGCUGGCACCUGACUCCAAAAACUCCAUUUAUCAAACGAUCGACCCCCAACCGAAAUUGUCCCCACCUCAAACUUUUGCUGCCUUGAUCGACCCAAGGGAGCCCUACAAACUGACAUCAGGAACCUGGAUUUGUGAGUUUUCUUUCCCAGGGAAAAUGGCCAAACGAUGUGCCUAGUGGCCCCUGGCCCUGGGCUGGCACCUGACUGCCAAAAAUCCUUAUAUCGAAGGAUGGACCCCAGACCAAAAUUGUCCCUGUGGGAACUCAGAAUGUCUCUCAGACAUUUUUAGAGGUUCCAGGCCUUGUUCAGAAGCAUUCUAGACCCUGGCAGACAGCUGAAAAACAACCGUGAUUUUGAGUUUGAGCCAUGG